UACGUAGGGUGCGAGCGUUAAUCGGAAUUACUGGGCGUAAAGCGUGCGCAGGCGGUCUGUUAAGACCGAUGUGAAAUCCCCGGGCUUAACCUGGGAACUGCAUUGGUGACUGGCAGGCUUUGAGUGUGGCAGAGGGAGGUAGAAUUCCACGUGUAGCAGUGAAAUGCGUAGAGAUGUGGAGGAAUACCGAUGGCGAAGGCAGCCCCCUGGGAUAACACUGACGCUCAUGCACGAAAGCGUGGGGAGCGAAACAAGGAUUG
rnacentral:rRNA from 1 species